AUUGGGUCAAUUUUUAACCCAGCAUGUGUUCUGUCCAAUAUUUACCCAUUAUGGGUAAAAAAUAACCCAGCCAUUUUUAGAGUGAAGGCUUCAUGAUUUCUCUCUCCUUCACCUCAUGGUUUUCUUCAGCAUGUUAAUAAAUAACAAGUACUUUACAUUUGUUCAGGAUUUGUUUGCAUUGCUUUCAAUUUUGCAUUACAAAAAUUAUGUCGUCUUUGCAUGAAUUUGUCUACUGGUGCAUUUAUUGCUGUGUUGUCAAGAGCAUCAGUCUCAAUUUCUUUUUAGCAAGGAUGAAGAUUCUGCUCUCUUUCCUUCUGCUGGCUGCUCUUAGUGAGCGAGUCUCAGCCCUGAUUCGGGAACACUUUUAUGUGGAUGGUAACAUAAACUGGUUUAAAGCUCAGACAUACUGCAAGACACACUAUUAUGAUUUAUCCACCUUUAGCAAUGAAGAGGAGUAUUUGGGCUUCUUGCACACAACAGGAUAUCAACGCUUUGGUUGGAUCGGCUUGUACAAGGAAAAAAAUUCAUCGCAAUACAAACAGUGGUCUGAUGAGUGCCAGAUUUGAUCUUAGUAAAAGAGAAUAAAAGCUGGGAGGAUGCAUUGGAGUACUGCAGGCUUCACUACAUUGACCUGGCCAGCCUGACCUCACUCACUGAUUUGCUCACGGCUGAAAAAAUUGUGAAUACCGCUGCAGUUAAUGUCUGGACAAGCUUGCGGUUCCUCGCCGGACUUUGGUUCUGGGCAAAUGGUGACAUUUUGGACAGUCAGAUGUCGUUGCCUUCAUGUCCCAUCUCCCCAAAUCACUGUGGAGCUCGAAACUUCAAGACUAAUAGCUGGGAGUUUCAAGACUGUGACAAGAAACUCUAUUUCUUCUGCUAUACUUAGAAAUCUACAGAUGAUGUUGCUGUCGCUACAGACAACAGCAAUGCUUAAGUGUAGUCAGGACUCCCAAAAAGUGCAAUAUAACACUGUCAUGUUUGUUAAAUACAUGAUCUUUGCCAUUGGGUCUCUGGUGAAUCUCUCUAUUAAAGUUUGUGACUUGUGUCUCAUGCUAUUUAUGUGCAGCAUGCCAUUUAUUCUGUCAUUUUUAAAGUCUGUAAUUUAAUUUUCUAAUAUAUAAAAUAUAGUUUUUCUGUAAUGUUGUAAAAAGCUUUAUAGAAAUAAAAUUCAAUAUGUUACCAUAGGAAUGCUUUAUCAGUUCAAAUAUUAGGAGUAUGUAUAAAAAAACCUUUACAGUAGGAUGCAUUACAAUAGGGACAUUAAUAAGCAGAUUAGUAGAUUAAUGUGUGCUGUUUAAACAGUUUACAUUUCAAUUUUUUCUCCAGCGUAAAAUUUAAGAUAGAAAAUAUAUUAGCUUUUUUGUGUUUAAUUUCAUUCUU